UGGGGAAUUUUGGACAAUGGGCGAAAGCCUGAUCCAGCAAUGCCGCGUGUGUGAAGAAGGCCUUCGGGUUGUAAAGCACUUUUGUCCGGAAAGAAAUCCUUGGCUCUAAUACAGUCGGGGGAUGACGGUACCGGAAGAAUAAGCACCGGCUAACUACGUGCCAGCAGCCGCGGUAAUACGUAGGGUGCAAGCGUUAAUCGGAAUUACUGGGCGUAAAGCGUGCGCAGGCGGUUUGCUAAGACCGAUGUGAAAUCCCCGGGCUAACCUGGGAACUGCAUUGGUGACUGGCAGGCUAGAGUAUGGCAGAGGGGGUAGAAUUCCACGUGUAGCAGUGAAAUGCGUAGAGAUGUGGAGGAAUACCGAUGGCGAAGGCAGCCCCCUGGGCCAAUACUGACGCUCAUGCACGAAAGCGUGGGGAGCAAACAGGAUUAGAUACCCUGGUAGUCCACGCCCUAAACGAUGUCAACUAGUUGUUGGGGAUUCAUUUCCUUAGUAACGUAGCUAACGCGUGAAGUUGACCGCCUGGGGAGUACGGUCGCAAGAUUAAAACUCAAAUGAAUUG
rnacentral:rRNA from 1 species